rnacentral:lncRNA from 1 species
UUUGGACUUGUUCCAGAGUUUGGGAUUGUUUAAUAAGGACGUCAGGCUGGAGAAAGGAACACUACUUUGUUGUUUUCUCUAAACACAAACACAGUACAGCUCAUUGAAGGGUCUCACUGCACUGUGGAGAAAGCUCUCAAGGGAAAGUGCUUUAUAACCCUCCUCCGCUUGUUGAUGACACCCAGGUUUGAAACCACGGGGAAAGCAACCAUCUCUGCCUUCGGCAGGAUAGAUUGACCCAACUAAAUGCACAAUCCAGAAUCCACUAUCCUCCAUGGAGGCAGACACCGCCAAGGACAAGCACCUGGAUUCAUUAUCUCCUCUCCGCAAAGAGAUACAGGCUGGUGGGAAAGCUGCUGACCAGCAAGGUCACAGUCUUCCUCCUCUCUGCAAGUGUCUCAAGGCCAAAGACAGGCUGGUGGGAAAGCUCUGACCAGCAAGGCCAUAUGCUCCCCCUCCCCUACCUAAAACCCCAAAUAAAGCCCUUCCUUUCAGCUUUUUGGGGAGUUUGGGAUUUCAGCGUUAGCUGCCCUCUCUCCUUGCUCAGCGCUGUGCAAAAAUAAAGUUCCUACUUUCUUCCAC